rnacentral:rRNA from 1 species
AGCGAACGCUGGCGGCAGGCUUAACACAUGCAAGUCGAGCGGGCAUCCUUGUGGUGUCAGCGGCAGACGGGUGAGUAACGCGUGGGAACGUGCCCUUCGGUUCGGAAUAACUCAGGGAAACUUGAGCUAAUACCGGAUACGUGCGAGAGCAGAAAGGUUUAUCUGCCGAAGGAUCGGCCCGCGUCUGAUUAGCUAGUUGGUGAGGUUACGGCUCACCAAGGCGACGAUCAGUAGCUGGUCUGAGAGGAUGAUCAGCCACACUGGGACUAAGACACGGCCCAGACUCCUACGGGAGGCAGCAGUGGGGAAUAUUGGACAAUGGGGGCAACCCUGAUCCAGCCAUGCCGCGUGAGUGAUGACGGCCUUAGGGUUGUAAAGCUCUUUUCUCCGGGACGAUAAUGACGGUACCGGAGGAAUAAGCCCCGGCUAACUUCGUG